GAGACCUUCGGGUCUAGUGGCGCACGGGUGUGUAACGCGUGGGAAUCUGCCCUUGGGUUCGGGAUAACAGUUGGAAACGACUGCUAAUACCGGAUGAUGACUUCGGUCCAAAGAUUUAUCGCCCAGGGAUGAGCCCGCGUAGGAUUAGCUAGUUGGUGAGGUAAAGGCUCACCAAGGCGACGAUCCUUAGCUGGUCUGAGAGGAUGAUCAGCCACACUGGGACUGAGACACGGCCCAGACUCCUACGGGAGGCAG
rnacentral:rRNA from 1 species